rnacentral:rRNA from 1 species
CGGGGUGAGUAAUGUCUGGGAAACUGCCUGAUGGAGGGGGGUAACUACUGGAAACGGUAGCUAAUACCGCACAACGUCUUCGGACCAAAGUGGGGGACCUUCGGGCCUCACGCCAUCGGAUGUGCCCAGAUGGGAUUAGCUAGUAGGUGGGGUAAUGGCUCACCUAGGCGACGAUCCCUAGCUGGUCUGAGAGGAUGACCAGCCACACUGGAACUGAGACACGGUCCAG